rnacentral:misc_RNA from 1 species
UUUCUUCUUCUUUAAGUAUUUUUAUUUAAGUAAAUAUUUAAUUGUUUCUUUUUACUUAUUUUUUCUUCUUAUCUCGUACACUCGUGUACACACAAAUGUAAGUAGCUGUUACGACUUCUUAUUUCUCUUUGUAAAGGUAGCUAUUAUUGUCUGUUUAUAUUGUUAUUACUCUUAAAUAGUGUUAACGUGUUUUAGUUACUGGUGUUGGUUCUGCCAGAAAAACAGCGUUUAAAACAAUGCUGAGUCAGGAGCCAUUAGCCUUUUCUUUCUUUAUGCAUUUUUUUUACUGUUACCCAGAUUCGUUAACUAUAUGACAUAGCAUUGUUUUUAGUCUAUUUAUUAUUCCUUUCUUUUUGCUAUUUUUUUUGUUUGUUACCUAGUUAUGCAUCCACCCCACACCUCCGUCGUAGAUUAAUAUGUUAAUGUUUCGCUGAUUUAGUAUUGCCACCGGGCAGCUCAUAGAAUUAACCGUGAGACAAAAACAUGGAUAUUAAGCAAUUUUUGGACUUGUUUUGAAGAGACAUGAAUGUAAUAAUAUACUUUGUGAGAGUCAGAAAUAUAACAACCUUCAAAUCGGCAAUAUGUUUUUU